UGAUUAAUGAGGGCCGUUAAUUAGAGCGCUGUAUUCCCAGUGUCAUGGACGUGGCUGGGAGCCAAGACCGGAAGGCGCGGAUUCAUUGUCAGAGCGGAUCUGAGAAACUGGGGUGCCCUGAGGGGCGGAGGCAGAAGCCAGGCUGAAAGGAUGCCGUCACCCUCCUCGCCACCCUGACCGCUCGCCAUCGGCCUGCAGGCUUACGCUUGGUGUUCCCUCCAGCUCUGCAUGGCCCCUGACUACAGCCAUUUUUCCAGCUUCUUUCCCAUGGUGGUGGGGGUAGUGAGUCGAGAGGGAGCUCAGAGCCCUCGAGAGGAGGAGUCAUAUGCCCUGCAGAGGUGGCACUGAGGGAGGAGAAGACAGAGGCGUGAGCAGGUGAUGCCUGCAUCCAGGACCAUCUUGUAGUGGAGGUGUCCAUCCAGCAUGGGGGUGAAGGACGCUGGGAGGAGAGGGAUGGAGAAAAGAAUGGCUUCUAGGGGAGGGGCCAGACCCCAAGCAGCCGAAAGAAGAGACGCACAGUCUGGGCUGCAGAGAGCCUGGACCAACCCACCAGGCAGGGCCGGCAGGACAGGCACAGGUGAGGAGGGGCGGAGGGCACAGAGUGAGCCAGGCAGAGCCUGUUGGAGGCCGGAGAGUGCCACAUCCUGGCAAGUGGGGCCUCAGCUCAUGGACAGCCUGGCAUGUGUGGUGGGACUGGCGUGGGACUUGCAGGGGUGAGUCUGGAUGCUGGAGCUCCCGGGAGACCCGGCCAGGUGGGUCACGAGGCCAAGGAAUCCAAUGCUCCCACAGAGCCAUCAACCAGGGAACUGUCCUCUGCCUGAGGGUCCAGGAAGAAGCACGGUGCCUCAGCAGCAGCAGAGCCGGACCCCAGGGUUCCAACGAGAAACCUCAUCUGGGGUCCCUCCCUACAGGGAGCUCAGAACGCAGCAUGGAGCUAUGAAGCUGAAACACUGGGGAGCCGCAUGCAGUGAGGCUGCAAUUCAGCAGCAGUGCAGUGGGUCCACCCAGGGGGUAAGCAGGGGUGUGGGGGGGCACCCAUCUGGGAUGUGCAGGGCCCGCUGGGACCCAUUCUCUUCUCAGGCUGCCUCCACCAUGGUGGCUGCAGGCGGGAUCCAUACGUCCUGUGCUGCCCUGGCCUAUUCUUACUGGUAAAGGAGUGGUUUGGAGGAAAAACAAAAACCUUAAUUCAACGGAGGGCUUGCUAUGGGUGGAUUUUUGCUCCCAGAUGGGAAGUAUUUUAAGUCAAUGAGCCCUUCCUGUCCUGCCAACAUGUCAGCGAGGAAACACUGCCUCCUCUGCACCACCCUGGCUUUCUUAGAAAAAAGACCAUUUGGAGGAAGGAAUUCAAGAAGUUCGUUGAAGGCUGCCGUGCGGUGGGUGAGGAAGGACAGCGUGAGAUAGGCUGGACACAGUGAAAAUGGCAGCUCAAGAACAACGGAUCACAUCAUUUUCUUCCUAGAAGAAUCUGGGUUUGGGUUGCAGCUCCACUCAGCAGGAGGCCCGGGAGGAGCUGGGAGCAUCCAGUCGCGAGGGGAAGGGGCGGUGUGCACUCAGGAGUCUCCUCACAGGAGCAUCAGACACCCUCAUGCUUUAAGAUGAUUGCGGCCGCUUCCUAACGGUGCUGUGAGAGCACUUCCGCCAUGCCUGAAGUUUGAGCAACACUGAACCCUAGAAGCUACUGAGUCCUCAAAGGGCAGGGCCUGGUGGCAGCGGGCCAGCUAUGUGGUGACACCAUCCAGAGGUUGCCGGGAGGUGUGCAGAGUGCCCCACUCCAUGCUGGGUGGCUGGGCAGUGGGUCCCACCCUUCACUGCACAGGGCAGUCAGCCGUGACUGCUGAUUCAACCAGGCCUGGAGGGGCGGUCUUUGAGCGUGGAACCCUUGUUAUCCAAUGGCACCAGCAACUCAUCGUGACAUCAGGGACGCCAACCGAGAAAGGCUUUAGAGGCUGCCCUUGCAAUGGCUCCCCCGCAUCUCCUCCUCUGUGCUCCCUUUUCCUGCUCAUAUGCCAGGAAUUGACUGAGGGACUCCGUGGCACUUCGGGGCCAGCUCACAACACCCAUGGGGCAGCUGCAGACUGGGGAGACCUCCCUCACGGGAUCUGAUCUUCUCGCAGUUCCUGGGACUCAUGGGUGUGGGGAAGGAGGGGACAGGGGCUGCCCUCCAGUUCUGACCUGAGAACCUGGUGAGGUGGGGUGUACCUUACUGGGAUGGCAAGACUGGAGAGAUGUGGAGAAAUUUGAUCCAGAUGCCUUAGGUGUGAGCGGUCUCAGGAAUUCAAGGCGGGCUGUGCAGACAUCCAUUAGACUUGGGGAGCUGGAGCUGUGCCCACCGAGGUUCCUUCCAGGGAAGGUCAUGCCCGGUGCCCAUGGCAGCUGCUGCCCAGGCCUGGCCACCUGCAGGGUCUUCGGCACAGCUCCCCCCACCCGCUGUGGCUCCUUUCUGUGACAGGCGCUUGUUCUCCAGGGAAGCCUUUGGGACCCUCCAAGGCAGCCCCUCUAUAGGCCCCUCCUGUAUCUGUGGGGAGAAAAGGGCAGCAGUGUCCCCUAGGAGAGGAGCGGAGGCAGCCUGGGAACCAGGCCACCAUGGAACCACCCCUAGCUGGCCAUCAGGGAGAGGACUGCCUGGCUCAGCCUGCACCGUGGGGGGCAGCUGGGGCUGCCUGGCAGCCUUGCAGGGUCCGAAGUGCCUCUUGGGAUGGGACGUGGUAUCGUGUUAGCAGGUUUGACCUGGGUUCCCUGUGUGUGGAGGGGCACAGGCUUGUCAGAAGCAGCAAGGUGCUUGUGGGAAGGACUGUGCAGGUGUCACCUCCAACUCAGGCCUCUGCUAGGGACAUUCCAGCCUCUCUCUCCCUGUGUCCUACGUGCCUGAGUGCCACAGAGUCACCCUGGGAGUAGGCUCUGUCCUCUACGUUUCUCUUUGGCCACAGGAAUGUCGGGGAGGAUGUCUUCGUGUGGUUAUCACCAGCGGCCCCUGACCGCUGGUUAGAAGGGACACUUUUCUGGCGCUCGAAUUUCCAAAAGUGUUCUCAAGGUCAGAAUAGGAAGAAUUCUCCCUCCCUCGUUCCCUCCUUCCAGAUUCCCUCUGCAAUUAUUUCCUCUGCGCGACCUCACUGGCUUUAUUUAUUUUGAGAAAAAUGAAUUCCAAAGGUCACUUUGAGUCCUUUCUUGUGAGAAGACCUUUCCAUAGACAGAGCUGGCCAGAAGUGACCAUUUCUCAUUUUUAUCUGCUCACAGGUCAGGAGAGACCCAGUUAAUCUCAGGAAGGCUGAGAGCCCCCCACUGCUCUUCAAGGCCUUCCAGGUUGAAGGGGUCUCAAGUCCUGUGUGGCUCCCAAGGCUCACUCUGCUGACAGCCAAAACCUCUGCAGUGGAUCCAUGCUUGCUGGCCUGGCCCAUUGUGUGGGGACUCGGGGCCCACCCUGGUGGUCCAUGGGUCCCUGAGUGUGCUGGAAGCAUUCCUGCCCUGGUUCCGGAUCCCUCCGCCUUGCAGGGCCAGAGGCUAGGUGGGCCUGGGCCUAUGCCAACUCUCAGGGUGAGCCCAGGUGACUGAGCCUCCGGACAGUGGCUCUUGGUGUCCUGAUCCCAAAGCUGGCCACCCUCCUGUAGAGAAUGGGGUGAGCUCCCGGAAACUGAGUGGGGAAAAUUUGAUGCUUUGCCGCUUUUCAGGGUUCCUUUCAGGCAAGAAUGAGAAGGGCUAAUGGAGGGCACUUGGUAAGUGCGGGUUCCAGCAGCCACAGGCUCAGCAGCCCUCCUGAGCACAGCUGGAGGGAGGCCCUGACCCCACGCAUGAGGAGGCUUGUGAGUCGUUCCAGAGCCUUCUCUGGCUGAGCAGUCAUAGGUGGGAGGCGGCUCCCUGCGGGGGGUAGGAGAGUGACCGCAGAGAACCUGCAGCUGAGCCUUAGGCGUCUGUGGGGCUGGUGUCCCAGCCUGUUCCAGGUGCAGACAUGCCCGGCUUCCCAGCCGCCCCUACGGUGCAGCUGCGCAUUCCUUCCUGAGUCAGCCCCAUGUGUCUGUGUCUUUCCCUCGGUGGAGUCACCUGCGGUGCACCCAGCCGGACCCUCUGCUAGGGUGACCCUGAGUCUGGUUCUUAGCACCCCCCAGACUAUGCUGGUCAAGGGCCAUCCCCUUCCUCUCGCAGUACAUGGACACAGCAGCGGCCUGAGUUGGGCCCUUCUGCUCCCAUCCCCGCCUGCCCAGCCUUUCAGAAGGUGAGAGGAUUCUCAGAAGUGAAGACCAGAAGCCAUGAGUGGAAGAACACAGCAGCUGGCAGCUUCUUCUCUGGCCGGGAUUCAUUUUGCAUUGAACUCAAAAUCUCAGCCUGAGGUUUGUCUCUGGGAAAGGCAAAGGCAAGAGUGCCUUCCUUCCCAUAACUGAGCUUUUCUGGGAGGAGGAGGGCUCUGCGCUCAGGGAUCCACCCCCUUGAGGGCCCCCUCAGGGCCCUGAGGCUCAGAGUGGGAGACAUGCCCAGACACACAGAGCCCACUGAAGCUGCAAGCCCGGCCAGCCCUUGGCUGGCUUGAAGGGAGCAGCGUGUACUUGGCAGCUGGGUGCCCCCGGCAUGGGGAAAGGGGAUCUGAUGAAUGACCCACGCCUCCAUGAGAAAUAGGUUAAUGCAUCAUCUCACCCGGGUAUUGGCAUUCUCGUAGAGGAGCGGUAGACAGGAAAAGCCUCUGAGAGUGAACCUCCAGCUUUGAUUGUCGGAAGGAUGAACGGGGACCGCUGGCCUCACCCUUCCAGGAGCCCCUCUCCGGCCCUGGAUCUGGGUAGGAGGUGGGCAUACUGCCUGUGCCCCUCUCCAGGAAGGUCUCAGGUGGGGCCCAGAGAGGCUGUAGGUGACUGCUGGUGACCGGGCGUGAGCUGCGUGGCUGUUGUGCUUUGCUGGUGCUGAGGCAGCAACGCCAGAGGUCCCCACUCAGGGCAGGCCUGCUGGGACCCCAGGGGCACCUGAUCUGCCUUUGGGGCUUUGGGGCACCCCUCCUCCUGGGGCUCUGGGACCAGGGUCCCAGAGUAUGACACGGGUGCUUGGGGAAGCAGGCUCUGGAGUUCACUGCUACUUGGCUUGGUGAAACCAGAUCCCCUCACACAACCCAGAGGGUGAAACCCCUAUUGAGAAAAUGAGGAACUAUACACAUGGAAGCUGACAGGGCCCUCAAACCCUGGGCGCUGGGCCUCCCGUCACGUUCGCUGGGG
rnacentral:lncRNA from 1 species